rnacentral:rRNA from 1 species
GUGUCAGCAGCCGCGGUAAUACGUAGGCAGCAAGCGUUGUUCGGAGUUACUGGGCGUAAAGGGUGUGUAGGCGGUUCCUUAAGUUUGCUGUGAAAUCUCCCGGCUUAACCGGGAGGGUGCGGUGAAUACUGAGGGACUAGAGUACGGGAGAGGAAAGUGGAAUUCCUGGUGUAGCGGUGAAAUGCGUAGAUAUCAGGAGGAACACCGGUGGUGUAGACGGCUUUCUGGACCGUAACUGACGCUGAGACACGAAAGCGUGGGUAGCAAACAGGAUUAGAUACCCUGGUAGUCC